CCGAGUUUACAACUCCCAAACCCCUGUGAACAGUACCACUUGUUGCCUCGGGCGGAUCAGCCCGCUCCCGGUAAAACGGGACGGCCCGCCAGAGGACCCCUAAACUCUGUUUCUAUAUGUAACUUCUGAGUAAAACCAUAAAUAAGUCA
rnacentral:misc_RNA from 1 species